CGCGUAGGCGGUGUGGUAAGUCUGCUGUGAAACCUCCAGGCUCAACUUGGAGCUGGCAGCAGAUACUGCCGUGCUAGAGUGCGGGAGAGGAGAGUGGAAUUCCUGGUGUAGCGGUGAAAUGCGUAGAUAUCAGGAGGAACACCGGUGGCGAAAGCGGCUCUCUGGACCGCAACUGACGCUGAGGCGCGAAAGCUAGGGGAGCAAACAGGAUUAGAUACCCUGGUAGUCCUAGCUGUAAACGAUGAACACUUGGUAUAGCGGGUAUCGAAUCCCGCCGUGCCGGAGCUAACGCAUUAAGUGUUCCGCCUGGGGAGUACGGUCGCAAGGCUGAA
rnacentral:rRNA from 1 species